UUAAUGGAUUUUAAGGAUGCCGUGACCAUCAAGAGUCAGUCCUGUAGGCAUUUUCUGGAGAAGUUAUCUCAGAACUUAUCUCUCAUCCUAAACUCGGUGAGAGACGAAUGUUACCAGAGACACGAGGAGCUCCAGAAGCAGAGAAAACAUGCUGUUUUCCCAACGCGGUGCCGUGAGCCUAUUUACCUGCAGCUGGACCAGCAGAGGAAGCUCAGGAACGACUUGGUGGAGUCUGAACACACGUUGAUGAAACUGGGCCGGUUUUCAGCUCUCACUCAUCACAUGGUGAUACAGGCUCUGGUUUCCUUCAUCCAGCAAGAUGCUCUUCAUUUUCUCAACGUUUUAAAGGUAAUGAAGUCCCAGCAGCGCUCUGUGUUUCUCACCGAGCUUUGUUUCAACACCGAUGAUGAGCUGACGGUGGAACCAUCAAUGCAUCAGUUUGAACAAACACUUCUUCACUCCAUCAGUGGCUCCAUUAUUCAGGUGAUCUUUACACCACAAU
rnacentral:lncRNA from 1 species